GUGGGGAAUAUUGGGCAAUGGGCGAAAGCCUGACCCAGCAACGCCGCGUGAAGGAAGAAGGUCUUCGGAUCGUAAACUUCUAUCCUUGGUGAAGAUAAUGACGGUAGCCGAGAAGGAAGCCCCGGCUAACUACGUGCCAGCAGCCGCGGUAAUACGUAGGGGGCAAGCGUUGUCCGGAAUGAUUGGGCGUAAAGGGCGCGUAGGCGGCCUGGUAAGUCUGGAGUGAAAGUCCUGCUUUUAAGGUGGGAAUUGCUUUGGAUACUGUCGGGCUUGAGUGCAGGAGAGGUAAGUGGAAUUCCCGGUGUAGUGGUGAAAUGCGUAGAGAUCGGGAGGAACACCAGUGGCGAAGGCGACUUACUGGACUGUAACUGACGCUGAGGCGCGAAAGUGUGGGGAGCAAACAGGAUUAGAAACCCCGGUAGUCC
rnacentral:rRNA from 1 species